GACGAACGCUGGCGGCGUGCUUAACACAUGCAAGUGGAGCGACGAACCAGGCUUCGGCCUGGGGCAAAGCCGCGAACGGGUGAGUAACACGUGGGUAACCUGCCCCGAUGACCGGGACAACCCGAGGAAACUCGGGCUAAUACCGGNUGUGGUCACCUCACAUAAGUGGGAUGACUAAAGAUAGCUUCGGCCUUCGCAUCGGGAUGGGCCCGCGGCGCAUUAGCUUGUGGUGGGGUAACGCCUACCAAGGCUUCGAUGCGUAGCUGGUCUGAGAGGACGAUCAG
rnacentral:rRNA from 1 species